CCUACGGGAGGCAGCAGUGGGGAAUAUUGGACAAUGGGGGCAACCCUGAUCCAGUCAUGCCGCGUGUGUGAAGAAGGCCCUCGGGUUGUAAAGCACUUUCAGCGAGGAAGAACGCCUAGCGGUUAAUACCCGCUAGGAAAGACAUCACUCGCAGAAGAAGCACCGGCUAACUCCGUGCCAGCAGCCGCGGUAAUACGGAGGGUGCAAGCGUUAAUCGGAAUUACUGGGCGUAAAGCGCGCGUAGGUGGCUUGAUAAGCCGGUUGUGAAAGCCCCGGGCUCAACCUGGGAACGGCAUCCGGAACUGUCAAGCUAGAGUGCAGGAGAGGAAGGUAGAAUUCCCGGUGUAGCGGUGAAAUGCGUAGAGAUCGGGAGGAAUACCAGUGGCGAAGGCGGCCUUCUGGACUGACACUGACACUGAGGUGCGAAAGCGUGGGUAGCAAACAGGAUUAGAUACCCUGGUAGUCCACGCCGUAAACGAUGUCGACCAGCCGUUGGGUGCCUAGCGCACUUUGUGGCGAAGUUAACGCGAUAAGUCGACCGCCUGGGGAGUACGGCCGCAAGGUUAAAACUCAAAUGAAUUGACGGA
rnacentral:rRNA from 1 species